CCUCAAAGUGCAGAAGAGUCAGCAUAGCGUCUUCCUUGCUUGGUGCUAUGGGAGGCAGCCAUCUGGCCAAAUGGAGGAGACAGGCUGCAUUCUCCGUAUUUUGUACAUCAUGUUCCCUGGAGAGGUGGUAUGCUUCUUCUCUUCCUAUGAGUACCUGAGCCAGGUACAUGCACAAUGAGACAAGACUGACCUGCUGGCACAUUUGUCUGUCAAGAAAAAGGUGAGUGCCUGGUAGUCUGUUUAUGAGGACAUUGCUACCUGCAACUCUUCCUAGGGCCCCUCAGUCUUGUGGAAUUGGCAUGGUCCGGAUUCUCCCAGCUUCUAAAUCUACCAAGUCUAGGCCUGGGACACUGGGUGCGGGGAUUCCCCAAAGCUUGAUUACAUGUUCCAUGCUCAGGCUCAAAACCAAGACUGAGGCUCAAGACUGAGUAUUUUGAAGCCUUUUGCUGGGUGACCUUCUUCCUUCAGUUAUUCCAAGAACCCAAGAGAGCAAGUCAGGUGGAGCAGGUGCUGACGGCGUAUUCCAAGUGCAUUACGUGCUGCAUUCAGGCAGGAGGCCAUCUGACAGGGGCCUUGCUCCUCUCUGUGGUUGGAGGGGAGAAGAGUGAA